rnacentral:rRNA from 1 species
AAUGGGCGAAAGCCUGAUGGAGCGACGCCGCGUGGGGGAUGAAUGGCUUCGGCCCGUAAACCCCUGUCAUUUGCGAGCAAGGCUCGGCACCUAACACGUGCCGAGUUGAUAGUAGCGGAAGAGGAAGGGACGGCUAACUCUGUGCCAGCAGCCGCGGUAAUACAGAGGUCCCAAGCGUUGUUCGGAUUCACUGGGCGUAAAGGGUGCGUAGGUGGCCGGGUAAGUUUGAUGUGAAAUCCCCGGGCUUAACUCGGGAACUGCAUUGAAUACUAUCCAGCUUGAGGAUCGGAGGGGAGACUGGAAUUCUCGGUGUAGCAGUGAAAUGCGUAGAUAUCGAGAGGAACACCAGUGGCGAAGGCGAGUCUCUGGACGAUUCCUGACGCUGAGGCACGAAAGCUAGGGGAGCAAA